GCAAUGAUAUUCUCCAGAUACUUUCAGCCUCGUUCUUUUGUGGUGGAAGAAACUGUGGAGGAGCAGUUUAUGUUUGCCUCCUUACAGGAAGUUAGCCACAAAAAAGUCACUCCAGACAUGAGGACUCUGUUUGGUGGAAUUUUCAAAGAGGGACUGUGGCCUACUGAGCAAGAAAACAAUGCCUCUCAAAAGGUUCCACCUGGCAGUCACCCACUGUUUGAAGCAAGUCCACAAGCCAGCAUAAAAAAUGGCCGACCAUCCUCCUCCCCUCUGCCACAGAUGUCAUCUCAGAAGAAACGCUUCACCCCAAUAACCUCACAACCACAACCAGAUACAUGUGUAUAAUGAUAACCGCAGCGUUUUUCCACUUCACUGUGACGAGUGGUGCAACCUUUGUACAAAGGGUGUGUUGAGCUGGAAAUGUUAGAAAUGCAAUGUUUUCCUGUGUUUGAAUGCAAACCAGCAAUGCGUUGUAGCGUACUACCAGAAAUAAAGUGGAUCCAAUGGCUAAAAAACAUUUGUGCUGUUGCACCACCACACAGAUGAGCAAAUCUGAUUGAUUUCUUCAAAAAGGUAGCAUUUUAUUUGACGUUUCCAAAUUUAUUAUGAUUUUUUUUUUGUAUUUGUAAAUGUUUAUACUUUUACCAUGAGGCAACGUCUCAACCAUUUGGCAAGAGGCCUAUAUUUUUUAAAAAAACUGCGG